AGGGCACCACCAGGAGUGGAGCCUGCGGCUUAAUUUGACUCAACACGGGAAAACUUACCUGGUCAGGACACUGGAAGGAUUGACAGAUUGAGAGCUCUUUCUUGAUUCAGUGGGUGGUGGUGCAUGGCCGUUCUUAGUUGGUGGAGCGAUUUGUCUGGUUAAUUCCGAUAACGAACGAGACUCUAGCCUACUAAAUAGAUCGUCGGCUUACAAACGCUGAUGAGACUUCUUAGAGGGACAGGCGGCGAUUCAGCCGCACGAAACAGAGCAAUAACAGGUCUGUGAUGCCCUUAGAUGUCCGGGGCCGCACGCGCGCUACACUGAAGUGAUCAGCGUGCAUUUUCAGCCUACUCUGCCAAGAGUGGGAAACCCAAUGAACCUUCUUCGUGAUUGGGAUAGGAGAUUGUAAUUAUUCUCCUUGAACGAGGAAUUCCCAGUAAGCGCGAGUCAUAAGCUCGCGUUGAUUACGUCCCUGCCCUUUGUACACACCGCCCGUCGCUACUACCGAUUGAAUGUUUU
rnacentral:rRNA from 1 species